rnacentral:rRNA from 1 species
AUAAGAGCUAUUGGUGGAUGCCUUGGCAUUGACAGGCGAAGAAGGACGCGAAUACCUGCGAAAAGCUCCGGCGAGCUGGUGAUAAGCAAAGACCCGGAGGUAUCCGAAUGGGGAAACCCGGUAGAGUAAUAGACUACCAUUGCAUGCUGAAUACAUAGGUAUGCAAAGCGACACCUGCCGAACUGAAACAUCUUAGUAAGCAGAGGAAAAGAAAUCGAAGAGAUUCCCUGUGUAGCGGCGAGCGAAAGGGGAAUAGCCUAAACCGAGCUGAUAAGGCUCGGGGUUGUAGGAUUGAGGAUAAAGGAUCAGGACUCCUAGUUGAACACAUCUGGAAAGAUGGAUGAUACAGGGUGAUAGUCCCGUAGACGAAAGGAGAGAAAGACCGACCUCAACACCUGAGUAGGACUAGACGUGAAACCUAGUCUGAAUCUGGGGAGACCACUCUCCAAGGCUAAAUACUAGUCAAUGACCGAUAGUGAACCAGUACUGUGAAGGAAAGGCGAAAAGAACCCUUGUUAAGGGAGUGAAAUAGAACCUGAAACCAGUAGCUUACAAGCGGUCGGAGACCAAUGGCCCGUAAGGGUCAAGUGACGGCGUGCCUUUUGCAUGAUGAGCCAGGGAGUUAAGCUAAACGGCGAGGUUAAGGGAUAUACAUUCCGGAGCCGGAGCGAAAGCGAGUUUUAAAAGAGCGAAGAGUCGUUUGGUUUAGACACGAAACCAAGUGAGCUAUUUAUGACCAGGUUGAAGCAUGGGUAAAACUAUGUGGAGGACCGAACUAGUACCUGUUGAAAAAGGUUUGGAUGAGUUGUGAAUAGGGGUGAAAGGCAAUCAAACUUGGAGAUAUCUUGUUCUCUCCGAAAUAACUUUAGGGUUAGCCUCGGAUAAAGCUUUUGGGGGUAGAGCACUGAAUUCUAGCGGGGGCCUACCGGCUUACCAACGGAAAUCAAACUCCGAAUACCAGAAGCGAGUCCGGGAGAUAGACAGCGGGGGCUAAGCUUCGUUGGAGAGGGGAACAGCCCAGACCGCCGAUUAAGGUCCCUAAUUUUAUGCUAAGUGGGUAAGGAAGUGAUGAUUCGAAGACAGUUGGAAUGUUGGCUUAGAGGCAGCAAUCAUUUAAAGAGUGCGUAACAGCUCACCAAUCGAGAAUCAUUGCGCCGAUAAUAAACGGGACUAAGCAUAAAACCGACAUCGCGGGUGUGUCGAUAAGACACGCGGUAGGAGAGCGUAGUAUUCAGCAGAGAAGGUGUACCGGAAGGAGGGCUGGAGCGGAUACUAGUGAAGAUCCAUGGCAUAAGUAACGAAAAGGGAGUGAAAAUCUCCCUCGCCGUAAGCCCAAGGUUUCCAGGGUCAAGCUCGUCUUCCUGGGUUAGUCGGCCCCUAAGUUGAGGCGUAACUGCGUAGACGAUGGAGCAGCAGGUUAAAUAUUCCUGCACCACCUAAAACUAUAGCGAAGGAAUGACGGAGUAAGUUAAGCACGCGGACGAUUGGAAGAGUCCGUAGAGCGAUGAGAACGGUUAGUAGGCAAAUCCGCUAACAUAAUCAGGUCGCGAUCAAGGGGAAUCUUCGGAGGAACCGAUGGUGUGGAGCGAGGCUUUCAAGAAAUAAUUUCUAGCUGUUGAUGGUGACCGUACCAAAACCGACACAGGUGGGCGAGAUGUAUUCUAAGGCGCGCGAGAUAACUUUCGUUAAGGAACUCGGCAAAUUAUCCCCGUAACCGGAAUAAGGGGAGCCUUUUAGGGUGACUAUGGAACGAUAGGAGCCCCGGGGGGCCGCAGAGAAAUGGCCCAGGCGACUGUUUAGCAAAAACACAGCACUAUGCAAACCUCUAAGGGGAAGUAUAUGGUGUGACGCCUGCCCAAUGCCAAAAGGUUAAAGGGAUAUGUCAGCUGUAAAGAAGCAUUGAACCUAAGCCCUGGUGAAUGGCCGCCGUAACUAUAACGGUGCUAAGGUACGAAAUUCCUUGUCGGGUAAGUUCCGACCUGCACGAAUGGUGUAACGAUCCUGGGCACUGUCUCAACGAAAGACUCGGUGAAAUUGUAGUAGCAGUGAAGAUGCUGUUUACCCGCGAAAGGACGAAAAGACCCCGUGAACCUUUACUGUACUUUGGUAUUGGUUUUUGGUUUGUUAUGUGUAGGAUAGCCAGGAGACUAAGAACACUCUUCUUCAGGAGAGUGGGAGUCAACGUUGAAACUGGUCUUAACAAGCUGGGAAUCUAACAUUAUUCCAUGAAUCUGGAAGAUGGACAUUGCCAGACGGGCAGUUUUACUGGGGCGGUAUCCUCCUAAAAAGUAACGGAGGAGCCCAAAGCAUUUCAUCGUGGUUGGCAAUCACGAGUAGAGCGUAAAGGUAUAAGAUAGGUUGACUGCAAGACCAACAAGUCGAGCAGAGACGAAAGUCGGGCUUAGUGAUCCGGCGGUGGAAAGUGGAAUCGCCGUCGCUUAACGGAUAAAAGGUACUCCGGGGAUAACAGGCUGAUCGCCACCAAGAGUUCAUAUCGACGUGGCGGUUUGGCACCUCGAUGUCGGCUCAUCGCAUCCUGGGGCUGGAAGGUCCCAAGGGUUUGGCUGUUCGCCAAUUAAAGCGUACGCGAGCUGGGUUCAAAACGUCGUGAGAAGUUUGGUCUCUAUCCUUCGUGGGCGCAGGAUACUUGAGAGGAGCUGUUCCUAGUACGAGAGGACCGGAAUGGACGAACCAAUGGUGUAUCGGUUGUUUUGCCAAGAGCAUAGCCGAGUAGCUACGUUCGGAAAGGAUAAGCAUUGAAAGCAUCUAAAUGCCAAGCCUCCCAAGAUAAGGUAUCCCAAUGAGACUCCAUGUAGACUACGUGGUUGAUAGGUUGGAGGUGAGCACAGUAAUGUGUUCAGCUAACCAAUACUAAUAAGUCCAAAGACUUGGUC